rnacentral:rRNA from 1 species
AUGUCGAACAACGAAGAAACUGGGCCUUCUGACCAAGAUGCAGACGAGAUGGAUUAUGAGGGUGAACAAGAGUACCUUGACUAUUUGACUGCUAAGCAAGGUUUGCAGGUCGGCCUCGAUGAUGGUACUGACGCCGACAUCGACACCGACGGCGCCGGCACCGAGACCGGUGGGGAAGGUACCGGCGGGGAAGGUACCGGCCCCGAUGCCGCUACCGAAAAGAGGAAGCAUAAGAAGCCGAGGAUACGAAAACCUAACAAACUAGGGAUUGGACGACUUGUGAUCAAAAAUAUGGCACCUGGCAAGUUUGAGCCGUUAGAGCCGGAAGAACCUCACAAGUGCUAUAGGAACCAAGUAGGAUGCAUCCUAUGGGAAUGCGCGAGCAUCAACGACGAUGACUUAAGGAGUAAAGAACAUUUGACGCAGUUGCUCCUAACGAAGUUGCACAAGAGAUUCAAGUUCCCCGACCGGGAUGAUAACAUAGAACAACCGUGGGAUGAUCCGAAGAUGAAAAAGAUUAACAAUCACGCCAUGGGCAUGUUCAGCAAUGAUUUGGCCUCCUAG